rnacentral:rRNA from 1 species
UAGGGAAUCUUCCACAAUGGACGAAAGUCUGAUGGAGCAACGCCGCGUGAGUGAAGAAGGUUUUCGGAUCGUAAAGCUCUGUUGUUGGUGAAGAAGGAUAGAGGCAGUAACUGGUCUUUAUUUGACGGUAAUCAACCAGAAAGUCACGGCUAACUACGUGCCAGCAGCCGCGGUAAUACGUAGGUGGCAAGCGUUGUCCGGAUUUAUUGGGCGUAAAGCGAGCGCAGGCGGAAUGAUAAGUCUGAUGUGAAAGCCCACGGCUCAACCGUGGAACUGCAUCGGAAACUGUCAUUCUUGAGUGCAGAAGAGGAGAGUGGAACUCCAUGUGUAGCGGUGGAAUGCGUAGAUAUAUGGAAGAACACCAGUGGCAAAGGCGGCUCUCUGGUCUGCAACUGACGCUGAGGCUCGAAAGCAUGGGUAGCGAACAGGAUUAGAUACCCUGGUAGUCCAUGCCGUAAACGAUGAGCGCUAGGUGUUGGGGACUUUCCGGUCCUCAGUGCCGCAGCAAACGCAUUAAGCGCUCCGCCUGGGGAGUACGACCGCAAGGUUGAAACUCAAAGUGAAUUGAC